AGACCUCUGAUCAGAAAAGACUACCCGCUGAGUUUAAGCAUAUCACUAAGCGGAGGAGAAGAAACUAACCAGGAUUUCCCUAGUAACGGCGAGCGAACCGGAAAGAGCCCAGCUUGAAAAUCGCGGCGCUGCGCGCCGCGAGUUGUAGUCUGGAGAAGCGUCCUG
rnacentral:rRNA from 1 species